rnacentral:rRNA from 1 species
AGAGUUUGAUCCUGGCUCAGGAUGAACGCUAGCUACAGGCUUAACACAUGCAAGUCGAGGGGCAGCAUGGUCUUAGCUUGCUAAGGCCGAUGGCGACCGGCGCACGGGUGAGUAACACGUAUCCAACCUGCCGUCUACUCUUGGACAGCCUUCUGAAAGGAAGAUUAAUACAAGAUGGCAUCAUGAGUCCACAUGUUCACAUGAUUAAAGGUAUUCCGGUAGACGAUGGGGAUGCGUUCCAUUAGAUAGUAGGCGGGGUAACGGCCCACCUAGUCUUCGAUGGAUAGGGGUUCUGAGAGGAAGGUCCCCCACAUUGGAACUGAGACACGGUCCAAACUCCUACGGGAGGCAGCAGUGAGGAAUAUUGGUCAAUGGGCGAGAGCCUGAACCAGCCAAGUAGCGUGAAGGAUGACUGCCCUAUGGGUUGUAAACUUCUUUUAUAAAGGAAUAAAGUCGGGUAUGGAUACCCGUUUGCAUGUACUUUAUGAAUAAGGAUCGGCUAACUCCGUGCCAGCAGCCGCGGUAAUACGGAGGAUCCGAGCGUUAUCCGGAUUUAUUGGGUUUAAAGGGAGCGUAGAUGGAUGUUUAAGUCAGUUGUGAAAGUUUGCGGCUCAACCGUAAAAUUGCAGUUGAUACUGGAUAUCUUGAGUGCAGUUGAGGCAGGCGGAAUUCGUGGUGUAGCGGUGAAAUGCUUAGAUAUCACGAAGAACUCCGAUUGCGAAGGCAGCCUGCUAAGCUGCAACUGACAUUGAGGCUCGAAAGUGUGGGUAUCAAACAGGAUUAGAUACCCUGGUAGUCCACACGGUAAACGAUGAAUACUCGCUGUUUGCGAUAUACAGCAAGCGGCCAAGCGAAAGCGUUAAGUAUUCCACCUGGGGAGUACGCCGGCAACGGUGAAACUCAAAGGAAUUGACGGGGGCCCGCACAAGCGGAGGAACAUGUGGUUUAAUUCGAUGAUACGCGAGGAACCUUACCCGGGCUUAAAUUGCAGAUGAAUUACGGUGAAAGCCGUAAGCCGCAAGGCAUCUGUGAAGGUGCUGCAUGGUUGUCGUCAGCUCGUGCCGUGAGGUGUCGGCUUAAGUGCCAUAACGAGCGCAACCCUUGUUGUCAGUUACUAACAGGUUCCGCUGAGGACUCUGACAAGACUGCCAUCGUAAGAUGUGAGGAAGGUGGGGAUGACGUCAAAUCAGCACGGCCCUUACGUCCGGGGCUACACACGUGUUACAAUGGGGGGUACAGAGGGCCGCUACCACGCGAGUGGAUGCCAAUCCCCAAAACCUCUCUCAGUUCGGACUGGAGUCUGCAACCCGACUCCACGAAGCUGGAUUCGCUAGUAAUCGCGCAUCAGCCACGGCGCGGUGAAUACGUUCCCGGGCCUUGUACACACCGCCCGUCAAGCCAUGGGAGCCGGGGGUACCUGAAGUGCGUAACCGCGAGGAGCGCCCUAGGGUAAAACUGGUGACUGGGGCUAAGUCGUAACAAGGUAGCCGUACCGGAAGGUGCGGCUG